rnacentral:rRNA from 1 species
UACGUAGGUGGCAAGCGUUGUCCGGAUUUACUGGGCGUAAAGAGCGCGCAGGCGGUCGUUCAAGUCGCGUGUGAAAGCCCCCGGCUCAACUGGGGAGGGUCACGCGAUACUGAUCGACUCGAAGGCAGGAGAGGGUAGUGGAAUUCCCGGUGUAGUGGUGAAAUGCGUAGAUAUCGGGAGGAACACCAGUGGCGAAGGCGACUACCUGGCCUGUUCUUGACGCUGAGGCACGGAAAGCGUGGGGAGCAAACAGG